UAUUUAUUUAUAAAUAUAAAUUAUGAAUAAAUAAAUAAAAAUAAAGUGAAAAAUAAUAAAAAAAAAGAAAAUGUGUAAAGUGUGAGAGAGAGAGAAAAAAAAAAAAGGCCCCACAAACCUAGAGGGACUUCUAAAAGGUUGCCGAUUAGUGUGUAUAUAUAUAAUUGAGUUAGAAUACUCUCAAAAGCACCAACCUCUUUGGUGUUUUUGAGUUUUUAGCCCUUAGAUUUACUCUUUGAUUACUAAUAACCUUUGGAUUAAACACUAUUCCACCUACCAUCGCCUACCAAUAUCAUCUCAACCUUACAUCUCUUCAUCCAAUGGCUAAAAACUCAAAAGCACUAAAAAUUUCUGUACACCAAAAAUUUCUUGUGCACUAAAAAUUUCUGUGCACUAAAAAUUUCUACACAUAUAUAGUUUUAUUGCUGAAGUAUAGUGAAAUUACUUUAGGUACAGAACCUUUUUUUUUUAUUGUACGUGAGGCUGUAGGCGUGCGUUUGAUUCGGGGAUAAAAGGGGGGUUAGGGGGUUAA
rnacentral:lncRNA from 1 species